UGCAAAUGACAUGUUUUGGCUAUUA
rnacentral:piRNA from 1 species